rnacentral:rRNA from 1 species
AGAGUUUGAUCCUGGCUCAGCGCGAACGCUGGCGGCAUGGCUAGAACAUGCAAGUCGAACGCGAAAGCAUCUUCGGGUGCAAGUAGAGUGGCGAAAGGGCGAGGAAUACGUUCCUACAUACCCUCAGGUCAGGGAUAGCCCAGGGAAACUUGGAUUAAUACCUGAUGUGGUCUUCGGAUCAAAGACUUCGGUCGCCAGAGGAGUGGGGAACGCCCUAUCAGGUUGUUGGUGGGGUAAAGGCUCACCAAGCCUUAGACGGGUAGCGGGUGUGAGAGCAUGACCCGCCGCAUCGGGACUGAGACACUGCCCGGACUCCUACGGGAGGCUGCAGUAACGAAUCUUCCGCAAUGCGCGAAAGCGUGACGGAGCAAUGCCGCGUGUAGGAUGAAGCUUUUCGGAGUGUAAACUACUGUCAGGGUUCAGCAACACAAUGAGCAGACCCAAAGGAAGGGCCGGCUAACUUCGUGCCAGCAGCCGCGGUAAUACGAAGGGCCCGAGCGUUGCGCGGAAUCAUUGGGCUUAAAGCGUACGCAGGCGGGCGCGCAGGCGUUUUGUGAAAUCCCUCGGCUCAACCGAGGAACUGCUUGACGAACCGCGCGUCUUGAGACAAGAAGGGGCUGUCGGAACGAUAGGUGGAGUGGUGAAAUGCGCUGAUAUCUAUCGGAACGCCGAAGGAGAAAUCAGGCAGCUGGGCUUGUU